CACGUAGGGCGCAAGCGUUGUCCGGAAUUAUUGGGCGUAAAGAGCUCGUAGGCGGUCUGCCACGUCCGCUGUGAAAACCUAGGGCUUAACCCUGGGCUUGCAGUAGAUACGGGCAGACUAGAGGUAGGUAGGGGAGAAUGGAAUUCCCGGUGUAGCGGUGAAAUGCGCAGAUAUCAGGAGGAACACCGGUGGCGAAGGCGGUUCUCUGGGAAUGUCCUGACGCUGAGGAGCGAAAGUGUGGGGAGCGAACAGG
rnacentral:rRNA from 1 species